rnacentral:lncRNA from 1 species
ACGAACGGGCCGAUGCCGUACCUGCCGAUGUCAAAGCCGUACAACUGGGCCAUCUCCUUGAGCUCCAUCAGCGCGCGGAUCUGCUCGUUCACCUCCUCGCGGAGGCGGAUCUUCUCCUCAUCCAUCACGCCCAGCAGGUUGUGCUUCAGGUCCGUCUUCUUAGCGGCGAUAAGCGCAUCAACGCCGUACAACGCCACGCGCCUGUAGGCCGUACGUGACACAUUAAGCCAUGCCACGCCACGCGGCCAUAGAAAAGGGAAGGACAACAGUCAAAGGAUGACCCAAGUCCGGACCUAAACUCGAAUCCAGGCAAAACCCAAGCAACAUACAUUCACGUGCCUGUAAUCGCCGAUGAUGCGGCCACGGCCAUAGCCAUCUGGCAGGCCCGUCAGAAUGCCGCUCUUGCGCGCCGCUCGCAUCUCAUCCGUGUAGGCAUCGAACACCCCGGCGUUGUGCGUCUUGCGGACAGACGUGUAAACCUGUUCAACCUGUUUGUUUUGGAGCAAAGGAAAACGAGAAGCAAACGUAACCCUUCAUGCAGCAUGUGCAAAUGGGAAUUGUGCAUUUAAGUUACACUGUUUCCUGAACUAAACCUACAUAUAGACUUGCCGUACAAUCUCGUACCUCCGGAUCGGGCUUGAAGCCGUACGACUCCAACGCCGCCUUUACCACGUUUAUACCUCCCAGCGGCUUGAUCGCUCGCUUCAGGGGCUUGUCGGUUUGGAGGCCCACGACCUGCUCAAGGUCCUUGUCGAUGUAGCCGGGGGGAAAGCCAGCAAUGGUUGAGGGCUUGCUAGGAUCCACGUCCAGGACGCCCACUUUUAGCUGUGCACGGGAUCCGCAGAGAUGAGACGGGAGAGCGCGAGGCGUGGCUUCUCAUGUUGAUUGAUUGGUGAACUAAUAUUGUGGGUGACUGGUGGUUGGGUGAAAUCGUUAUGGCGAUUUUAGGCGUUGGCUGCGAUGAGGAGGGCCACCUAAGCAAGGCUUUCCCCACGCCGUUGGUCGGAACGACGAACCGGCGAUGCUCUCGCACAUGGUCUCACUCCUCUUCAACACACAAAACGCCAACCCAGGACCCACCCCAGCCCCACCCCACCUCCUCGCUGAGUAGCUUCUCUAAUUUGCCCCAUAGCGCCUUGGUGCGGGGAGUAGCAGGGGCCAGGAACUUUGCAUCGCCGUACGUAUACGGCUUGUAGUUAUCCUGAAACCAGCGGACAGCCCGUUUGGUCGUUAACGGUCCCAACCAGUCGAGCGCACCAUACACCGCAAAAUACAUCAAGACGCGUAGAUAUAUAACUCCUUAUGGAACGUCGUAUGUGCGUGGUACAAAUUCAACUUGGUCGUACCUGUACGUAGCGCCCGGCGUCAAUAUCGGUGUUCACUGCCGGUUUUGGCCGCGGAUCUGGCAGGCAAAACAGGGCGUCCGCCUGGCCGCUUGGCACUUGCAGCUGCUGCUGCUGCUGCGGCGGCGGCGGCCGCUGCUGCCCAAGCGGCGCGGCAUGGCUGGCAGCCGCAGUGGUGAAACAUCCGCUGUGUGGGUGAGGCGGAAGGCGGAGGGCAUAGGUAGGGACGCAGGGAAGUGCGCAUGGGACGUGGACAUCCUGGCAUCUCAUUUUUCUCUCACUACCUCUAUCUAUAUAUGUAUCUCUCACUUACACGCACACACACACACAUGUUCUCUCUCUCUCUCUCUCACUCGAGCCGCCUUUGCCGCCACGCCUCCCACCACCAGCACCACCCAUGCAUGGGUGGGCCCCGCGCAGACGGUGAGAACCAACACUAACACACAAUGAUCCCGAUCCAGAUGUUGAAGAUAGAAACCUCUCGUUUUGAUAUAACUCGAAACACACGUGCAUGUGCGUGUGUUGCAAACCCGGCUCCAUUCAAGUCCCGCUUCCAGCAGCCCUUCCGUGCCCCACUAACAACACAUAGGCAAUCCCUGCGCCGCUUCCAAACUCACCGAGGCCGUCGGAGGAGCGGCAGCCGAGCCAGGGCCGUCACAGCUAACUUCGGGCAGGCUGCUAGCGGACUGUCAGCUGCGUGCCUUGCCAUCCGCAUCCUGGAUAUCAGAAGAAGAAGAAGAGGCCAGAUUGUGCGAAAUGCGGGGUUUGGCAGAGGAUAAAUGUGAGUGGCUAGCUGCAGCGAUGUGCUCGGGAAGGAUCGUCCCUUGUGCAAUCGUACGGCGACGGAGGAUUUGAGGGGCGCCCUCACGUCAAGCUCCAUGCAUGUGCUGGGGAUGUACAGCAUACAUGACAAAUUCCCGCAGCCCGGUAUUGCGAAAUCAGUCGGGGGAUCCGGCGGGGUUCGCACCUUUCCGUGCUCAGCGCCUGUGUCGGCAUGCCGUCAAGAAGCAAGAAGCUAUUGUUAUUGCUGCCGCCCGCUGGGGAGGUGGCGAUGGGAAUCCGGGAGGACGCGGACGAUGGCGGCUGGCGGCCGGCAAGGGACGAUUGCUUCAGGAUCAGUUGUGAUGCUGUGAGCAGCAGUCGAGCUCCGUGGAGACUGAGCGGGCUCGGUCAGUCGAGUGUGCACACAAGUAAAAGCGAGCUUUCUAGUAGUUGGUCAGUUCUGUCAGUUGGCGUCUUCGUGACGAAACAUGGGCUGGCUUGAAAGAUGGGACGAUAGCUGAGGUUUGUAAGGGAAAAGCAAUAAAGCAGCGUAAAAUGGUUUGUACAAGACUUGGUAGUGAGGUGAACCGUGGGUCAGUCGUGUGAAAGGAGGCACGUCUUUUUGUUCGUUCAGUGAAUUAAUAUUUUUGGACACCUCUCUUGACUGAUAAUACCAGAGGAUAAUGCAGAGGAAUCAGGGCACGCGGGGAAUUUUAAGGUAGUCUCCGAUGCUGUACGCUGGUACCAUCGUACGCUUUUGUACCAAAGCUCUGUCCUGUCUAAAAUCCAUGACACAACGUAAGCAUCCUACGUAAAUCAGCAUCAUACAUAAUAAAAUGUUGAGGUCGAACUAACGUCACAAAACGAGCGGCGACGAACUGAACAUGAAAGCGAUAGGAGCCCGAGAGGGGACCAGAUGCUAAAAGCAUAAUAAGAUGUCCGGCUGAUUGCGGUAGUGCGUAGCUUCACCCAUGGAUGCGAAAUGAACAUCCGGCUGUAAGAGAAUUAAUUGAUGGGCCGAUGGUGCCGAUUGAUUAGCCGAUGGUGGAAUACGCAUCGAAGGCAUGCCGCGCGGCAUCCCGUUGCACUGUGAGGCUCGACCCUUGUUUUUGUGUUCCGCACAUAGCGCAGCUUUGUGCUGUUAUUUCGGUUCACGAUGAUAGUUAUGAAACCAGGAAAUUCCAGUACUGUUGCAACGUGCAAUUUUUUCGGGACUAGGACAAGGAGACAAGGACGUUGGAUGAUGCUGUUUCCCGAUUGCGUCUACAGACAAUCAUGUUCAUACUUCUAGCUCCGGACAAAUAUUGCCGGAAGGCCACUUAAAUAGCGUCCAAUGUCGUGCAUCAGCCAAAGGGGCCCUGCAGGGCUUUGGACCGGGUUCUGAAACCACAGCCUCAUACACGCAGGGGUCGCUUGACAGAUGACGAACAACAUUCCGCGUUUUUGAUUUGUUUAAUUCAUGAGUGAUACGCUUGCAGCAAUAGUCUCAUCGGGUGUAAUCCAGCGGCUCAGGGGUUAACAAGGAGGCAUUUUCGUGUCAUAAAUUCUUCCACCCAUAAUGCAUGUAUGAUUUGAAUUGUGGUGGACUAGAUUUAUAUCAGCCUGCUAUAAGUACACUAUGUGAGUUGCGCACAGUAAAAGGAGUCGGGAAAAUACACAACUCCACUAGACACGUUUCACGUUACAUAUAAAUCUGGGCGUUGGGCUCAAACGUUUCACAGUGCUUCAAUAUUCCCUUUACAUUUCUCCUUGCAGUAUCCAAAUGGGUUACAUGACGUGACAGACAUGAUCGCAAGCCGCACGAUCCCGUGUACAGAAAGUCAGCAAGUGUACGUUAUGUGUACACAAACCUACGCAACGUGCGGGGAUAACUCCCAACGAAGAAACACUUCUAGAACUAUCUACAGGAUAAUAAGCCACUCACCCGGCCGCAACCCCUCAAAACUCAGCAGGCUUAGCAGCGCAUUCAGAUAACAAAUGCAACUCACUCGUUGACUGGGGGUAGCCGACUUGAUUGAUACAUUUCCCGUGUCAUUGCUUCAAUAAGAGCAUAGCGCAAAGGCGCAUACGCUUAUUUCUGUAACAUAUACGCCGAGCACUAGCCAGGUAAGGGGAAAGCCCUCUCACCAUAUUUAUUGUCAGGUCGAAAGUCGGCAAACGCCCGGCAAAUAAUUGAGGAGGCUAGCCAAUGCAGGGCCAAACAUUUCCGCUCAAGGUUUCAUAUGAUAUCACAACCGCAUUUGGUGCAUACAUCUAUGCGCAACGUCUGCAAACAACUAACCAACGGGGCUCACCGCUUUAAGAACGCCAAGCCAUAAACAUCAGGAGCAUGCGACCUGAGAUGCUUUGCUGAUAGCGGAAAUAAUGAACGAAUCUCUUAUUCACGAUAUCCUCACGACUCUUCGGCAUGCCACAUGUACAAUAAUGAUUGAUGCCACUCGCUUUUGUUAAGCUCACACGGUAACACAAGGCAUUACCUCCCACGUUAAGCGACUAACACAUACAUGGGCCCCCCUCUGCAAUCCUUCAACGCCGCCGCUCAGCUCCUCCUCCGUGGUGGUGUCACAACUUAUUACAUGGUCUCGUGGAAGGUGCGGGCGAUGACCUCGAGCUGCUGCUCCCGGGUAAGUCGGGCAAAGUGCACCGCGUAGCCGGAGACGCGGAUGGUGAGGUUGGGGUACUUCUCGGGGUGCUGCAGAGAGAGAUGGGGAAGGAUUGUAGGCGAUGAGGAACGUGAGAGCUCGAAAUGCCAAAGAGGAAAGACGACACGGUCAGCUGGCAACUUAUCCCGCAUGGGGAACACCUUAACCUGGCUAAAGCAGGAAUGGGAUCGACGAACACAUCAAGCAUCCGAACCUCACCUCCACGGCGUCCAUAAGCAUUGCGCGGUUGAGCACAUUGACGUUGAUGUGGUGGCCACCAGUUACGAAGUAGCCGUCCAGGAUGGAGGACAGGUUAGCAGCGCGCUCAGGUUCACCGCCUUUGCCCAGAACCUACAAGAGCCACACGGGCGCAAAGGAGAGCAACCUAGUAAGGAUGAGGAGGAAGAGGUUAAUAAGGGUAUUAAGCUUCAGUCAUAGCAAUGCAAGGUCGUCGUAAAACUCUGCGAAGCGCGUCCAUCGGGCUGGUCAUCAUCUGCUUCUGGGAAUUUCCAACCUCCGCCCCUCCGCCGUGUUCUCCUCCCCACAGCAACUAACCUGAGGAAUUAGGGAGAAGGUGUUGGAGAUGCCGUCCAGGCAGCUGGUGUAUGGCAGCUUGGCCACGGAGUUGAGGGACGCCAGAGCGCCGUGCGAGUCGCGGCCGUGCAGGGGGUUGGCUCCCGGCGCGAAGGGCUCACCCUUCUUGCGGCCGUCAGGAGUGCUACCGGUCUUCUUGCCGUACACCACAUUGGAGGUGAUGGUCAAGACCGACAGCGUGGGGAUGGAGUUGCUGUGCGGGUAGGAAGGGGGCAGGGAUGAUUGGGGCGAAGGGCGGAAGGAGGAAGGUUUAUACCCUAAGUUGUAUGAGGGGUGACCGAGGCCGGCGUCAGCGCGAGCAUUGUGCAGCAUAUUGCAAAAUCAAGAACCCCUAUGCUGAAUCACCAACGAUUCUCAAGUGCACUUACCGGUACGUGUGUUGACUUGAUAGCUUCUUAGAGAACGUCGAUGUGAUCCACUCCGCAAUCUCAUCAGCGCGGUCAUCAUCAUUUCCGUACUUGGGGAAGGUGCCAUCAACGACGAAGUCCACCAUAAUACCCUUCUCGUCAUACACCGGGGUUACUUUGGCGUACUUGAUGGCGGACAGCGAAUCGGUCACGACAGAUAGACCCGAAAUACCGAAGGCCAGCAGGCGGCGUACGUAGGUAUCAUGCAGGGCCAUUUGCAGACGCUCGUAGUCGUACUUGUCAUGCAUGUCUGUGUGGGAACAGCAGCGAUGCAUGGCCGUUAACACACGCCGCACAGAAACGCAUCCCAGAAUUAAACGACACAUGCAGCAAAGCUACAAGCACCAAAAGACGCCGUGCCUGCCCCACAACUCACAGUGGAUAACGUUCAUGGUGUUGGCGUACAGCGAGGCCAGCCACUCCAUGCCGUCCUCAAGUUUGGCACGGACCUCCUCGAAGUCCAGUGGGGCGUCCUUCACACGCACCGAGGCGAACUUGGGGCCAGCCUGCGCACCAGUCACUUCGUCGCGGCCCUGCAACGGGAGAGGAGAACAGAGGCGCGCAGGGUUCAAAUGCUGGACGGAUGUAGGGUGUGGGUCGGGUCACAGGCAGAUAACACGGACGCGCACAUCCUACCCUCGCACCUGGUUCAGGACGUAGAGCAUCAGCUUGGGAAGGUUGGCACGCGCACCGAAGUACUGCAUGUCCUUGCCCACCCUCAUGGCGGACACGCAGCAUGCGAUGGAGUAGUCGGAGCCGAACAGGCGGCUCAUCAGCCGGUCAGAUUCGUACUGGAUGGAGGACGUGUCCAGAGACACCUUGGAGCAGAAGUCCUUGAAGGGCUGCGGCAGGUUCUCGUUCCACAGCACCGUCAGAUUGGGCUCGGGCGCCGGGCCCAGGUUGUAGAGCGUGUUGAGCAUGCGGAAGCUGGUCUUCGUGACCAUGGGCUUGCCGGCUGCGUCCGUGCCGCCCAGCACGCAGGUCACCCAGGUGGGGUCGCCCGCGAACAGGGCGUUGUACUCGGGCGUGCGCAGCUGCCGCACAAUCCGCAACUUCAUGACGAAGUGGUCCACCAGCUCCUGAACCUCGGCCUCUGUAAUGGUGCCCGCGGCCAGGUCGCGCUCGAAGUAGGUGUCCAGGAAGGCGUCGAUGCGACCCAGGCUCAUAGCGGCGCCAUCUGGCAAUACGGUUUGAGGGGAGAGCAAGGGGGAAAGCGACUUGUCAGAAUCGCGAGGUGUUGGAUUGUGAGAGAAGUUAGUUGGUGCCGAGUCAACUGGCUCAUGAGCAUGUAGGAUUUCCAAGGUAAGACCUGAUGCUAGGCCAGGUGAUGGAUGCAUUACAUUACAUCAGCGCAUUGCUUUCCGAAUCGUGGGGGUGCGUGGGCGAUGCGCAUCCUCAGCGCACCUUGUUCCUUGACAGCCCCUAGGUAGGCGAAGUACAACCACUGCACGGCUUCCCUGGAGUUCUGGGCGGGCCUGAGGGGGCAGCAAGGGGGAAAAGACCGUGGCGGCGGCGGGGGUUAACACAGCAUCCGCAGAGUAUGUGGACGAGGUUGGCCGACUUGAAACGGAGCUUCAUGGCCAUGUGGGCCUACCGGCAAACGAACGGGCCGAUGCCGUACCUGCUGAUGUCAAAGCCGUAAGACUGGGCCAUUUCCUUGAGCUCCAUCAGCGCGCGGAUCUGCUCGUUCACCUCCUCGCGGAGGCGGAUCUUCUCCUCAUCCAUCACGCCCAGCAGGUUGUGCUUCAGGUCCGUCUUCUUAGCGGCGAUAAGCGCAUCAACGCCGUACAAUGCCACGCGCCUGUAGGCCGUACGUGACACAUUAAGCCAUGCCACGCCACGCGGCCAAAGAAAAGGGCAGGACAACAGCCAAAGGAUGACCCAAGUCCGGAUCUAAACUCGAAUAAAGGCAAAACCCAAGCAACAUACAUUCACGUGC